UACAGGGGGUGCAAACGUUGCUCGGAAUCAUUGGGCGUAAAGCGCACGUAGGCGGUUCGUUAUGUCGGAUGUGAAAGCCCUUGGCUUAACCGAGGAAGUGCAUCCGAAACUGGCGAGCUAGAGUACUAAAGAGGAUCGCGGAAUUCCCGGUGUAGAGGUGAAAUUCGUAGAGAUCGGGAGGAACACCAGUGGCGAAGGCGGCCUUCUGGACCAAUACUGACGCUCAUGCACGAAAGCGUGGGGAGCAAACAGG
rnacentral:rRNA from 1 species